AGAGAGGUGCCCUUGCUCCUGCGCCCUGGGAAGGGAACGAUACCGUUAAGGAAGCCUACAAACUGGCACCUGCGCGCGCGGCUCUCGGUGCCCCCGCGAACCCGAGGGCCAGAGCGGGCAGGGGCGGGCAGGGCGCCCACCCGACUGGGAGGACCGAGGCUGGGCUGCCGUCCUGCGGGCGGGCCCCGGGGAGCCGGCUGCCCCGCGGUCCCGGAAGGUCUGGGCGGCGGAGUUCCGCGCGGGCGCGGGCGCGGGCGCGGGCGCUCGUCGGCGGGGGCGGGAGCGCGGUGCCCGGCCGCGGAGGAGGCCCGGACCCACGGCAGGCACAGGCCCCGCGGGUGCUCCGGCGCUCCCGGCUCGCCCACCCCCGCCGGCCGCCUGGGCUUGGUGACGCGCCCGCGCCCCUCCCGGUGCCCCAGAAGUGCUCGCCUUCCCCCUGGGGCCGGCGCCUCCCGCGCCCCCACCCGCACGGUCCCGCGUUCUGCCCCCUGGCCCCGCCGCCCCCCGCACCUACCGGGCGGGGCCCGCGCUCCCCAGCAGGUGGCCCCGGGCCACGCGGCGUCCAGCGGGGCCGAGACGGAGGGAAGGCGGCUCAAACCCUCGGCCUCGCUUGUGCAAACAGUGUCCCUGCGCGCCCGCCCGCGCUGCCCCACCCGCGGCCCGCGUGCCCCAGCGGCUGACUGGGUGCUCGCGGCCCCACCCGGGCCCCUGGACGCGCUCCAGGCCCAGGCGUCGGCGCGGCCUGCUGCCCCAGGGGACCCCCCAGCCCGGGCACCCGGCCCCGAGCUGCCGCGUGUGGGGGCCAGGCCGCCGCCCCCCACCUGCAGCCCGCCGAGGCCGCCGCGCCCUCUCGGCCGCGGGACGCAGUGGUGUCAGCGGCCCGGGCCUGCUCCGCCGCGGGGCUCAAGGGCUCCUGCAAGCCCGGGCCUGCGGAGGCGGGAGGCCUCGGUCACAGGGACAGCCCCAGCAGGCCGAGUCAGCUCACCUCCCGGGUCGCCUCCCGACUCCCGGAGCUUACUCUACCCGCCCCGCCCCCGUUUGUUGACAUUAAAGUCAUUUAUCAGACACUCGGGCACUUGUCAGCACAGGCCACAAAGCUUUGUAGGGCAGAAUCAAGGAGGCGAAAGGCUGGAAAGAUGCAGGCUGCAAACAACAGACACGGGGGGAAAAAUGAAAGAACUCUGGAGAAAGGAAAGAAGCGGCUGUGGCCAGCUGAAAAUGAAUCCUCCCAUUUCAUGGAUCCAGCAGUUGAAGAACUAACAGGUGGUUCAUCAGUCAGUAAAAUUUUCCUACAACGGACACUGGUUGCAGCGGAUGACCUUCCCCGACGCUCAAGUUCAUGUGCUGAUAAGUCUUUCUUUAUAAGAGUACUCCCACUUGGCCACUAACCUGUCUGUACUUCGGUUUUCCCUUCUGGAUAAUAACAACGCCUACCUCAUGAAGUUGUUGUGAAGGUUAAAUGAGAUGAUAUAUGUAAUGUGCUUAGAAUAGUUCGUGGACUGGUGAAUGUACAAAUACAUUAGCUUAUACUAUUUCACAUCACAUACUGCAGUUUCAAGUUAUAACUUCAUACUCAGACCUUGGAUUUUGCCUUGUGUGGUACCUAGACUCCAUGUUAACCUCAGUGAUCCAUCCCCACCUCCUCAGUAUGUCACUUCUGAGAUUAGGUUGUAAAAGACGUGAGCACAUGCCUGGCUGGGCAUCCAGCACUGGUCUUUGAGGCACGACUGUGAGAACACCAGCCUCAAAUUUGUAGUGCACGUUCUGGCCCACCAGCAGCCUGGGUGACUGCUAAGUGUUCUCCAUGCAAGCAGUGGGCAGAGCCGCUAACCCUGUGAACAAGAUGGGAGAUGCUGAAGCAGGCAAGAAGAUCUUUAUUUAAAAAUGUGGGGGCACCUGGGUGGCUCAGUCGGUUAAAUGUGCGCCUUCCACUCAGUGGUGAUCAGGGUUCUGGGAUCCAGCCACACAUGGAGCUCCCUGCUCAGUGAGGAGUCUGCUUCUCUCUCUCUCUCUGCCUGCCGCUCCCUCUGCUUGUGCUCUCUCUCUCAAAUAAAUAAAUAAAAUCUUCUUUUUUUUUUUUUUUU
rnacentral:lncRNA from 12 species